CCUGUUCACAACCAACAAAGAUCCAAGAUCAAUAAGUGAAGAUGGUGACCUGAGAAAUCAUCAGUAGACUGAAGGGGACAGGCUGGAGCUACAAUCUAGCCUACUGGAGUGGACUUGGAGCGUAGGAGCAGCAAGAGUAGGACCAACAGAGAGGGAAAAAGAAGAAAGGAAGCAAGUACAGUCAGGAGAAGGAGAUGCUACAGAAGCAACCUGAGUCCGGGUCUGAGUACGAGAACUCAGGCAAGCUCUCCUUGAUCAUGCUGAGUAGAGCUAUUUUUGAAAAACACUAUUCUUUGCUGCAUCUUAUCAUCAACUUGCAUAAAAUGUUUUGGUAAUAAAUUGUGUGGAGUGACUAUUGCCAAAAA